rnacentral:rRNA from 1 species
AAUGAACGCUGGCGGCGCGCCUAAUACAUGCAAGUCGAGCGAGAAGACGUAGCAAUACGUUUGUAAAGCGGCGAACGGGUGAGGAAUACAUGGGUAACCUACCCUCGAGUGGGGAAUAACUAGCCGAAAGGUUAGCUAAUACCGCGUACGCUUCUUGGACUUCGGUUCAGGGAGGAAAGCGAUGCCGAGGGUAUCGCGCUCUUGGAUGGGCUCAUGUCCUAUCAGCUUGNGGUGAGGUAACGGCUCACCAAGGCUUCGACGGGUAGCUGGUCUGAGAGGACGAUCAGCCACACUGGCACUGCGACACGGGCCAGACUCCUACGGGAGGCAGCAGUAAGGAAUAUUGCGCAAUGGGCGAAAGCCUGACGCAGCGACGCCGCGUGGGGGAUGAAGGUCUUCGGAUUGUAAACCCCUUUCGGG